UACAGAGGGUGCGAGCGUUGUUCGGAAUUAUUGGGCGUAAAGGGUGCGUAGGCGGCCUGACAAGUCUGAUGUGAAAUCCCUGGGCUCAACCCAGGGCCUGCAUCGGAAACUGUCGGGCUUGAGUAUGGGAGAGGUGAGUGGAAUUUCCGGUGUAGCGGUGAAAUGCGUAGAUAUCGGAAGGAACACCUGUGGCGAAAGCGGCUCACUGGACCAUUACUGACGCUGAGGCACGAAAGCUAGGGGAGCAAACAGG
rnacentral:rRNA from 1 species